rnacentral:rRNA from 1 species
AGGUGUGCAAUCUGUCCUACUACCAGAGCAUAGCCCAGCGAAAGUUGGAUUAAUUCUCUAUGUGAGCCGAGAGGGCAUCCUUUUGGUUUGAAACGUGAGGGUAUAGGGUGAGCACGCUUCUGAUUAGCUAGUUGGUGAGGUAACGGCUCACCAAGGCGACGAUCAGUAGGGGUUCUGAGAGGAAGGUCCCCCACAUUGGAACUGAGACACGGUCCAAACUCCUACGGGAGGCAGCAGUGAGGAAUAUUGGUCAAUGGACGGAAGUCUGAACCAGCCAAGUCGCGUGAAGGAUGAAGGUUCUAUGGAUUGUAAACUUCUUUUGUCUGAGGGUAAAAAGGCCACGUGUGGCUUCUUGCAAGUAUCAGACGAAUAAGCAUCGGCUAACUCCGUG